rnacentral:lncRNA from 1 species
CUGGUCCUACUACUGGUCCUACUACUGGUCCUACUACUGGUCCCGCUACUGGUCCCGGUACUGGUCCUACCACUGGUCCUACUACUGGUCUUACUACUGGUCCUACUACUGGUCCUACUACUGGUCCUACCAUUGGUCUUACUACGGGUCCUACUACCGGUCCUACUACUGGUCCUACUACUGGUCAUACUACUGGUCCUACUACUGGUCCUACUACUGGUCCUGCUACUGGUCCCACCACUGGUCUUACUACGGGUCCUACUACUGGUCCUACUACUGGUCCCACUACUGGUCCCCCUAUUGGUCCUACCACUGGUCCUACUACUGGUCCUACUGCUGGUCCGACAACUGGUUCUACUACUGGUCCUACUACUGGUCCUACUACUGGUCUUACUACUGGUCCUGCUACUGGUCCUACUACUGGCCGUACUACUACUAUUCCUAUCACUAUUCCUAUCACUAUUCCUACCACUGUUCCUGUAUGUAUAUACAAUGGAACAACUUACCAGGUAAACUGAUGUGUAUCUUGUAACGUCUUUAAUUACUACGACUGUAUUACCUGAGAUGUGCAACAAAACGAUAAUAUCUAAUGAUAUCAUACCGAAGUUAGUAUUUUCUUUAUGAUUAUUUUCCCAUUUUAAUCGAGAAUUUUGUAAAUGCAAAAUAGUUAUGCGUAAUUAAAUAGCCAAUGUUUAAGAGUGGAUUAACUACUGGUUUAAUUGCUUACACUCGGAGUUUGAGAGGCAAAUGGCAUCGAAAUUUAGGAAUGUUUCAUUUAUACUUUAUGUUUCAUUCUAGAUGUAUGAAACGUUUCAAGAAGGUUUAUGCAAAGUAUGCAGAUGUGACUCGAAUGCCCAAGUCAAAUGUACCAGGAGCUGUAACAUUGACAUUUGUCCGAAUG